GCCCGGGUGGUGAAAUUGGUAGACACAGGAGACUUAAAAUCUCCCGAGCGCAAGCUUGUACCGGUUCGAGUCCGGUCCCGGGCA
rnacentral:tRNA from 1 species